rnacentral:rRNA from 1 species
UACGGGGGGGGUAAGCGUUGUUCGGAAUUACUGGGCGUAAAGGGCGCGUAGGCGGCCUGUUAAGUCGAACGUGAAAUCCCCGGGCUCAACCCGGGAACUGCGUCCGAUACUGGCAGGCUUGAAUUCGGGAGAGGGAUGUGGAAUUCCAGGUGUAGCGGUGAAAUGCGUAGAUAUCUGGAGGAACACCGGUGGCGAAGGCGGCAUCCUGGACCGAUAUUGACGCUGAUGCGCGAAAGCCAGGGGAGCAAACGGG